rnacentral:rRNA from 2 species
GAUAAGGAGCUUGCUCCUUUGAAGUUAGCGGCGGACGGGUGAGUAACACGUGGGUAACCUACCUAUAAGACUGGAAUAACUUCGGGAAACCGGAGCUAAUGCCGGAUAACAUUUGGAACCGCAUGGUUCUAAAGUAAAAGAUGGUUUUGCUAUCACUUAUAGAUGGACCCGCGCCGUAUUAGCUAGUUGGUAAGGUAACGGCUUACCAAGGCAACGAUACGUAGCCGACCUGAGAGGGUGAUCGGCCACACUGGAACUGAGACACGGUCCAGACUCCUACGGGAGGCAGCAGUAGGGAAUCUUCCGCAAUGGACGAAAGUCUGACGGAGCAACGCCGCGUGAGUGAUGAAGGUUUUCGGAUCGUAAAACUCUGUUAUUAGGGAAGAACAAAUGUGUAAGUAACUGUGCACAUCUUGACGGUACCUAAUCAGAAAGCCACGGCUAACUACGUGCCAGCAGCCGCGGUAAUACGUAGGUGGCAAGCGUUAUCCGGAAUUAUUGGGCGUAAAGCGCGCGUAGGCGGUUUCUUAAGUCUGAUGUGAAAGCCCACGGCUCAACCGUGGAGGGUCAUUGGAAACUGGGAAACUUGAGUACAGAAGAGGAAAGUGGAAUUCCAUGUGUAGCGGUGAAAUGCGCAGAGAUAUGGAGGAACACCAGUGGCGAAGGCGACUUUCUGGUCUGUAACUGACGCUGAUGUGCG